CACGUAGGGUGCGAGCGUUGCCCGGAAUUAUUGGGCGUAAAGAGCUCGUAGGCGGUGUGUCGCGUCGGCCGUGAAAACCUGCAGCUUAACUGUGGGCUUGCGGUCGAUACGGGCAUCACUGGAGUUCGGCAGGGGAGACUGGAAUUCCUGGUGUAGCGGUGAAAUGCGUAGAUAUCGGGAGGAACACCAAUGGCGAAGGCAGCUUGCUGGGACGGUACUGACGCUGAGGCGCGAAAGCGUGGGGAGCAAACAGGG
rnacentral:rRNA from 1 species